UAAUUAGGUCAUAACUGAUAAAGAAGAUAAUACUGGAAAGUUUCAUUAGCAUCAAUAUGAUAACAAGAAUACACUUAUGACAUUUUUGGCAGGAAGCAUAUGCAAGAACAGAUUAUGCAUGAUUCUUAUUUAGCAUCUCAAAAAAAAAAGGACUGCUAGAAAUUUACAAUGCUGAAUUCUCGAAAUAACUGAAAAAAUAAAUAUGCAGUAGAGAAAUUCUUUGGAAUAGAAUCUAAAUAUAUUACACUCCAUGAUAGUCAUCCUGUUAAAAUGGAACAUUUAAGAUGAGAAAUCAAAUCCUCAUUAGUGAUUUCAACCACGUAACUGAAAGAGAUAUGGGCAGUGCAUGAGGAUGUCAUCCUCCCUUUCCUCUGUCAUGCGAACACUUCAUGAAUCAGGAACAGGAAAUGAAAAAUAAAUAUCAUCUAACAUUACAUACAGAGGAUUAUAACAUCUACCAUCUUCUUUUGAGAUUGAUGGACAUCUAACCCUUUGUUAAUUAAGACAGGCUAUCCUUCUAUUACAUAGAGUCAUCCAAGUCUGUCAACAUCCACACAAGUCACACAUUUAUCUAAAAUCAAGAGGAAUUAAAAGCAAGGUUUGCCAAACCGGUAUUGGAGGGUGUACCAGCCACUGACUGGUUCGGCAUGGUACGGGUCCGUACCGUGCCAUUCCAGGGCGUACCGACACAGAGAGAGUUGGAGACGGAUAAAAGUAGAAAGGAAGAGAGAAAGAGAAAGGGGGAGGGUGAAGGAAACCCUAAAGAAACUUGAGCGCACAUGAGAAAGAGAGAGAGAGGGAGGUAUUAUGACCGGGGGGGUCAGUCUCGAGCACAUCGCAAGGGGAGGGCACUAUGAUGGUGAGCAGUGGGGUGGAAGGGUCUCUCGAAAUCAUAACACAAGGGAGGAUCGAGUUAGGAAGGGUUUAAUCGAGCUGGGUGAGGGGAUUGAGCUAGGUUUGUUAAGCCAUUUUUAAUUGAACCAGAGGGUUGGUGGAGGGUUCAACCUCUAUACCGAACCAACAGGAGGAACUGUCCACAUUUCCACAUCGGUUUAGCUCGGUAAGCCACAAACCAAGCAAUUCAAGGCAGUAUGGAGAACCAUGAUUAGAAGUGUACACUAUAUACCAAGAGUUAGCAUCAAGGUCCGCCGAACCAAUACUAGGACUUGUACCGAUUGGCAGACGGGUCGGUACAUAUAGAUAUCACCAUCAAUUAAUGUUACAUAAACACAACAAAUAUGAGACAACAUGCGUGUCACAUAGUCCUAUGCAGGGGCGGCCCAAUGCAUUUGGAGGCCUAAGGCGAAUUCACUAAAUGAGGCCUUUUUAAAAAAAUAAUAAUAAAGUUUUUUAAUAAAUAUAAAAUACUUUAAAAAUUUAUUUAGAAAUAAUUCGUCUAGCAAUCUCCACUAUUAAUUCGUCUAGCAAUCUCCACUAAACAUGCAUUGUCUGGUACAGAAGUAACAGAACAAAGAUAUAGACAAGCAAUCUCCACUAUUAAAGAAAAGGAAUACUUGAUAUCUGCUCUCCUAAAAUCAGAUGAGCAAAGGACUACCAUAUUCUCAUCAAGACUCAAGAGCCUGUCACUUGACCAAAGGCAGAGUCAAAUGAUGCUGCAAAGAUUUCUCUUAGCACAUAUCAGGCCAAGAUUGAGGAGCUGGAGCUUCAGAUUCAGAAGUUUAUUGCUAAAAGAAUUGAUCUUGAAAUUAAAUUGGAAGAAGCUGUGCAGGAUUCAGGGAGGAAAGAUAUCAAGGAUGAGCAUUAAAUUUGUUAUCGAGCUGGGCCCUGUGCCUGAGCAUUAAAUUUGUUACACAAGUCAUGCUUCGGUUCUUUCUCAUACCUCCUCUGUAGUCUGUUCCCAUUACCCAAGUAUCCCAACAAAGAGAACACCCUAGAGGGCCUAAAGCCGUUCUCGGAAGGCAGAAACUCACCUCCGGGCUCCGGCGAGUAGGCGACGGUGGCGAGGAUGGAAGGCUGGGUCGAGAAGGACUGAAGGAGAAGAGACACCGUCACGCCGGCGAUGCCGCCUCCCUUAUUCCCUCGUCACUCUCUUCGGCCGAGUGCCGACGGGGAGGACCGACGACGGCGAGAGCGACUGAGCGAGUGGCGAACGGCCGGAAAUGGGCGAAGGACAGAACUCGAAAGUCGGAACUCGGAAGAACCGAAGAUUGAAGAACUAAGGAGUAAGGACUCAGGAGGAAGUGAGGAACUAGGGAAGAAGGAAGAACCAAAGAAAAGUUUAGAAGGAGGACUCUCUCUGGUUUACUGGUUUUCUCUUAUCUGGGAUGGCCGGAUGGGAUUCUGCCAUUUUGGACUGGUGAGUGGUGACUACGGCCGGCGGAUGGAGAAGACGGGCUAUGGAGGAUCGUAGGGGCAUAGGGCCCUCCAUAGCCCCGUUGUCUGUUGCUUGUUGGCCAUACCUGGAGGCUGGAGGCUGGAUCGUUCGUACUUCAUAGGCAGCUAAGGCAGGGCAGCAGCCAGGUAGCCAGCUAUGAUUCCUAAUAUCCCAUCAUGGGCACUGGCCACUGGGUAGCUGGAGCUGAUAGCCAAAUUCAUGGCGAUCCCAGGAUGGCGAUGAGGGGCGAUAAGGCUAUCCCAGGCUAGAGAGUGGAGGGCCGGAGGCCUUUCUUUAGGCCGAGGCCUUAGGCGGCCGCCUCGGUCGCCUAAGGCUUGGGCCGCCCCUGGUCCUAUGCCAUAGAGACAGCCAUUUUCUUCAAUUUGCAUGAUUUUUGGUCCAUAGAACCUCUCGAUCUCAUGCUUGUCGACAAGAAAUGAGGAAAAAAAUAUUGAAAGAAAAGAGAGAAGGGGCGAGAGAGAGAAGAGCUAGAGCAUAGCUAUUACUUUUUUGCCUCUAUGUUCUCCUUAAGCCAUAGCAAUGGAACAUGAUUCCAAUGCCCUAAACUCCACAUUGCUUCUUGAAGGUGAACACAUAAUCAAGUGAAUGGGUGUAGACUAGCCUCCUCUAUGGUGCCCGAGGGCUUUAGUGUGAUAGGGACACACAAUAGAGAGAGAGAAAGAGAGCAAACAAUGAUAUUACUAUGACUAGAAGGGCAGGGCCUAGUAAAGGUCUACUUAAAAUCUUUUGCCCGUAUUGGGCUUGCCACUAAGUCAAUCCAUAGUAACUUGGUCUCAAACGAAAUUAAAGCCCCUAGCUAUUUCUUAUACAUAACCCAAGUAUUUUGAAGCCCAUAUAAAUAACUUAACAAUCAAAAAUCAAAAUGAUUUCAAAUAAGUCAAUAUAUAAUUAAAUUGUACAAUUGUGUCUGUGUAUCAAAGUUUCUUUUAAUCUUGUCAUUUUAGAUUCUUGUGGACACUUGGCACUUGAAACCCCAUUCCAUGUCUAGGUAAAGUACCAUCAAGAAUGAGGCUGAUGAUGGUGAUGGUGAUGGCAAUGGCACUAGCAAAGUUAGAAUGCGAGGUCAAAGGUGGCCUCUUUAAAGGAGGUGAGCACUGAUUGAGGUUUGGUAGUGGUGUGAGAAUGAAGCAUGAGGUCUCAAGGCUCAAGAAAGCACGAUCUCUCAUAGAGAAUGAAGAUGAGAUGGAGGAGGCAAGAAAGUGCGAUGCAACAUCAACCCAAAAAUAUCGGGAUUGAAGAAUUUUCCUUCCAAGGACAUUUUUUGUCUGCAACAAGAUUAGGUAUUCAAACAUCCUAUCCUAUCUCCUCAAGAACUUGUUUCCUUAUGAUUGAAAAUCCAACAAGAACCCAUUGAACUAGUUCACGUCCAAACAGGCCUUAAUGUUACAUAACCUUAAGAGUCAGAUUGAUAUGUGAGAUUCACCCAAAUUUCAAUGAAGAUUUUGAUAACGAGGAGGCUUACCUGAAAAUAAAUUUCAAGUUUCAGGAAAUGCCACCGAAACAGAUCAGCUAGACAAGAAAGGGAAAAUCGUUGAUUAUA